rnacentral:rRNA from 1 species
AUGAACGCUGGCGGCGUGCUUAACACCUGCAAGUCGAACGAAGCACUUUAUUUGAUUUCCUUCGGGACUGAUUAUUUUGUGACUGAGUGGCGGACGGGUGAGUAACGCGUGGGUAACCUGCCUUGUACAGGGGGAUAACAGUUGGAAACGGCUGCUAAUACCGCAUAAGCGCACAGCAUCGCAUGAUGCAGUGUGAAAAACUCCGUUGGUAUAAGAUGGACCCGCGUUGGAUUAGCUAGUUGGUGAGGUAACGGCCCACCAAGGCGACGAUCCAGAGCCGAGCUGAGAGGGUGACGGGCAACAUGGGGACUGAGACACGGACAAAACUCAUACGGGAGGCAGCAGUGGGGAAUAGUGCACAAUGGGAGAAAGCCUGAUGAAGCGAAGCAGCGGGAGCGAAGAAGUAUUGCGGUAUGGAAAGAUCUAUCAGCAGGGAAGAUAAUGACGGUACCUGACGAAGAAGCACCGGCUAAAUACGUG